UGAGGUAAUCAAAAUGCCUUUAAUUUACUUCGAAAUUACAUGAUGCUUUUCAUGAUGCAUUUUUCUUUUUCUUUAAAUUUUCUUGAAAAUUAUAUUUUUAAUAAUUUAAUAAUGAAAAUGCAAAAAUAUGAUCAUGCUUGUAAUUUUGAAAAUGAUAAUGAAAAUUGCAUGUCUUAUGUUAAUGCAAGAUAGAAAUCUAAUGAUUGUACACCUAGUGAGAUUAAUAUUAUUUAUGUGCUUGAAAAGCAAGAAUGUAUAUUUUGAUGAUUUUCAUAUUGCUUUUCAAUGACGAUACAUGGCUUUUGUCUGGAAGGCUUGAUAUUUUUCAUUGUCUUUGUUUGUUAAAUAUGAUGUAUGGUUUUGACAUAAGAAUAAAGAUUUGAGCAUGCUAUUAUAAAGUCAAUCAUAUAAAUUAAAACUAAAGAAGUUUUAGGCAUUUAUAAGAAUCAUUCAAAAUU
rnacentral:lncRNA from 1 species